rnacentral:rRNA from 1 species
AUUGAACGCUGGCGGCAUGCCUUACACAUGCAAGUCGAACGGUAACAGGUCUUCGGAUGCUGACGAGUGGCGAACGGGUGAGUAAUACAUCGGAACGUGCCCAGACGUGGGGGAUAACGCGGCGAAAGCUUUGCUAAUACUGCAUACGAUCUAAGGAUGAAAGCAGGGGACCGCAAGGCCUUGUGCGUUUGGAGCGGCCGGUGGCAGAUUAGGUAGUUGGUGGGAUAAAAGCUUACCAAGCCGACGAUCUGUAGCUGGUCUGAGAGGACGACCAGCCACACUGGGACUGAGACACGACCCAGACUCCUACGGGAGGCAGCAGUGGGGAAUUUUGGACAAUGGGCGAAAGCCUGAUCCAGCAAUGCCGCGUGCAGGAUGAAGGACUUCUGGUUGUAAACUGCUUUUGUCCGGAACGAAAAGGCUCUGGCUAAUACCUGGGGCACAUGACGGUACCGUAAGAAUAAGCACCGGCUAACUACGUG